UACGGGGGGGGCAAGCGUUGUUCGGAAUUACUGGGCGUAAAGGGUUCGUAGGUGGCCAACUAAGUCAGACGUGAAAUCCCUCAGCUUAACUGGGGAACUGCGUCUGAUACUGGAUGGCUUGAGUGCAGGAGAGGAACGCGGAAUUCCAGGUGUAGCGGUGAAAUGCGUAGAUAUCUGGAGGAACACCGGUGGCGAAGGCGGCGUUCUGGACUGCAACUGACACUGAGGAACGAAAGCCAGGGGAGCAAACGGGAUUAGAAACCCCCGUAGUCC
rnacentral:rRNA from 1 species